GUAGAAGAUGGUGUCAUCAGUUGGCAUCUAUGAACACUGAUUUGCCUCACAAAUGGAGAAGACUACGAUAAAUGAGCGGUUGCCUUGUGGAAACAAGGAAGACUCGAGAACUGAAAGACAGAGUUGCGAGAAUCAUUAGCGAUGCUAAAAGCGGCCAAGAAAAUGCGUUGUAGGAUUCAAAGGCUCGAACUUGAAAAUUCCAACUUAGUCGUCACAAUUGAAAAACAAGCGAGAGAAAUGGAAGCGCUUGGUGAAAAACUGUUAAACACAGGAAACGACGUGGUGGAAGCGGCACCGGAAGGAGACCCGGUGGAGCCGAGGGAGGAGGCUGUUGCUGCACCCUGGAGUCAGAUGGAGUUGAUGGAGCUCACAUCUGAGCUCACGAAAAUGAGAAUGCAAGAGGACUCUUGUAAAACGGAAGUUCAAAAAUACAAGGAACUCUAUCUACAAGAACUAAGAAGCAAUAAUGCCUUACUCUCACGUCUUCAAAAAGGACUUGCAAGUGUCCAGAGCAGUCAUGUUCAAAUCAUGAGGGGGAGAUGCGGUGGAAGACAUCUUCAAUGGUGGCUCUUGUAGGGCCCCACCCCGAGUGCCCUCAAGUGCCAUAUCUAACAGGCAGCAGCAUGGAGCCACAAGGAAAUGUGCCCCAGCCCUCCCAAUGCCCAGGAGCUAGCUGUGAAUUCAUGGAAAAUGCUAGGG
rnacentral:lncRNA from 1 species